AGUAUUUUUCUAUAUACAAAUAGUGUUGGAUUUAAAUUGGAUUUCAAUUACUAUAUUAUCCCUAUUUUAAGUGAAAUUACUAAAAUGCCCUUAAGCCUAAUUUUCAAAAUAAUGAAACCCUAACCCAGUGACCCGUACCCGACCCGGUUCCCUUCACCUACUCUCAGCAGUAGCAACACUUCCCCUUUCUCAAGUCAAAGCGUAGCCACACCUCCACCCCUGCUUCAUCUCCUUCGGCAUAACACACCCUCUGUCCUAAAUUCAGCGCCGCAAACCUCCUUACAGCCGCCACCCUUUCUCCUUCCCUUCAACAAGCUUGCAACACAACUGCGCAGCCCUAUACUAACACACACACAUGGUUCCCGAACCAAAGGAAAAGAGAGAAACAGAAGAGAGAAGGGAGGAAGGGGGCUGUCUGCCGGCGCCACUGGGUCUCGCCAUCGCCGCCGAUGCCGCUGAGGUGAGGAGACCCCGAGGUGCUACACGUGAGGAGCCGUUCUGCCGCCGUGCCCUGCACUGUUGAGGCCGCCGCUGCUGUUCGUGGGGUUGCCUCUGUCGCAGAUUGGAACUGAGGCAAGAGAGGAAGGGUCUGACGGGAGGGCACACGCGCGAGGAGGGAGGAAAGCUGCUUCUGUCACUGUCGCCGAAUCCAUUCUUUCCGCUGCCACUGGGAGCACGAACAGAGGAGAGUCACCCCUGUCGGAACCACGCCGCCACUGCCAGCUUCCACCUCCAUCGUGCUUGACUAUGGAUGAGAGUGGAGGAAACUGCCUCUCUCUCUGCCGUUGAAAUCCCCCGUCGCUGCUGCUUGUGUCUUGAACUGCUGCAUCAGCCACCGCCGCAGGUGUCGCUGUUGGAAAGGGGACAUGUGCCUCUGUGUUUCUGGUAGCCAGGAGUGGUUCUAUGACUUCCGGGACCACCGCUAAGGCUCCGGGCUAAGCCUCUACUGCCAGGAACGUCUCUGCUGCCACCGAGUCCCGCCGGCGCUGCUGUUAUUAGAUAUUCAGACCGCCGUUGUCGCCCAAAAGUUAUUGAUGGAGCUGCUGUUGGGCCGAUUUGAUGUUGCGGCUGCGUCAUUUUGUUAUUUCAGUGAGUAUUUCGAUUUUUGAAAGCCCUGCGUUAGUUCUCUGUUCCGUGUAAUAAAGUAUUUGCGAUGUUAAUGGUUUUAGGAGUUAGAAUCUGGUUUGAUUAUGCCGCUUGUAGCUGUUUCUGCUUUCGAGAGAACAAGCCGAGUCGGGUUCUGAUUGCCGGUGAUUUCGGGCGGAGCGAAAAGAGUUUAGUUGACACGUUUGGGUUGUGAUUUUGGCGUUUUGAGGAUAUGGGCGCAGAAGUUACGAAGAGUUUAUUUAGUUAUUGUUGUGAUGUUCUGUAUUGCUUUGGAUUAUUAAUUAUUGUACCCUCGCCUCUAUAUUGAUAUAUUCUAUAAGAGGGAUAGGAAUUGUAUUGGUUAAUGUCUGUAAUAUUAUUUAUAUAUAUGUAUGUAUAUAUAUGGAUGUACUCUUUAUGAGUUUUCAUAAGUUGUAUGGUUUCUUUGGAUGUACGUUAUCGAACGAAAGUAUUUUUAGAAACGGUAUUGCGGUUUAAAGUUUUUAAACAGGCUCAUAUUUUAGUAUUAAAUAGUAUAAGUGUCGUCGUAAUGUCCGAGCUAUCAGAGUUGCGCAGUCGGAAGCGUGAGCUUUGGUAGUUAGGGUGUUACAUCUUCAGUUGAUGGGUGGGGACCACUUGAUUUGUCCAUUCUGCAGCUUCUAAUCUGUGUUAUCUGGGUUGGAACUGGGUCAAAACGUGGCCCAAAAUUGCCCCCAGCGUUUUCUGUAAUAUUGCAGAUCGCGCAUGUGAUGCGUCCGCAUCGUCCACGUGUUCGCGUCAUUUGUACAUAUUCUAGUCCACGCGUUCGCGUCAGGCACGCGAUUACGUCAUUGCGUUUUCUCCAUUCCGCGCGGUCGCGUGAGCCAUGCGUCCGCGUCGGUCUUCGCUGGUCAUCUCUUUGGUUUCUUCUCUUUCUCUGCAGAAACUUCAUCAAAUCCCUCUGAAUGCUACCUAAAAUAAAUAAAAUUGCACAAAACUCAAAAUAGCAUCCA